CCUACGGGAGGCAGCAGUGAGGAAUAUUGGUCAAUGGGCGGAAGCCUGAACCAGCCAAGUCGCGUGCAGGAUGACGGCCCUACGGGUUGUAAACUGCUUUUAUACGGGAAUAACGCGCCUUACGUGUAGGGCUUUGCAUGUACCGUAUGAAUAAGGACCGGCUAAUUCCGUGCCAGCAGCCGCGGUAAUACGGAAGGUCCGGGCGUUAUCCGGAUUUAUUGGGUUUAAAGGGAGCGUAGGUGGAAUGUCAAGCGUGUUGUGAAAUUUCGGGGCUCAACCCGAGCAUUGCAGUGCGUACUGGCGUGCUUGAGUCCGCGUAAGGUAGGCGGAAUUCGUCGUGUAGCGGUGAAAUGCUUAGAUAUGACGAAGAACUCCGAUUGCGAAGGCAGCUUGCUGAAGUGGAACUGACGCUGAUGCUCGAAAGCGCGGGUAUCGAACAGGAUUAGAUACCCUAGUAGUC
rnacentral:rRNA from 1 species